CACUGAGAAUUGCUGCUGAAAGUUUUUAAAAAGGGAGCUCUGACCUCAGUGGAACUUGUCCUCCCAGUAGGGGUUCUGAAGACUGGAACUCACAAGAGGAAGAUAAACUAUUACAGUCUUGGUGCAGAUUUGCCUCCUUCCCCGAGAUGGAAAAUUUACACUAACUAGACUCAUUGAACUUGUCUACAGGAGAAUAAAGAGUUCCAGUGAAGAACUUAUUCUGCUUUGCUUCUUAGAAAUUUUGCUCCAGAGACAAGUUUUGAGCAAUUCUAUGUAUCAAAUAACAAGACUGCAACAAAAUCUGAGAAGCUUUUAAGGCCCAGAUUUAUUCCUACUGGAAUCAGAUGAAAAAAAUGAAAACAAAACAUAUGUAAUCCCAUUUGGGCUAUACUAGAUGUUGCACAAUAACAGCUCUGGGAUCCCCAGCACAAGAGGGACAUGGAGAUGCUGGAACAAGACCAGAAGAGGCUGC
rnacentral:lncRNA from 1 species